CCUACGGGUGGCAGCAGUCGAGAAUCAUUCACAAUGGGGGAAACCCUGAAGGUGCGACGCCGCGUGAGGGAAGACGGCCCUAUGGGUUGUAAACCUCUUUUGUCGGAGAACAAAACCAGGGACGUGGCCCGGACUGCGUGUAUCCGAAGAAAAAGCAUCGGCUAACUCCGUGCCAGCAGCCGCGGUAAUACGUAGGGGGCAAGCGUUAUCCGGAUUUAUUGGGUUGAAAGGGCGCGUAGACGGCGGUGAAAGCCAGAUGUGAAAGCCCGGGGCACAACCCCGGGACUGCAUUUGGAACUGUGCUGCUAGAGUGUCGGAGAGGCAGGCGGAAUGCGUAGUGUAGCGGUGAAAUGCGUAGAUAUUAGGAGGAACACCAGUGGCGAAGGCAGCCUGCUGGACGAUGACUGACGUUGAGGCUCGAAAGCGUGGGGAGCAAACAGGAUUAGAUACCCGAGUAGUC
rnacentral:rRNA from 1 species